AUGUAAUGUAAUCCCUACAAUUUUAAGGCACUAGAUCCGAUCAGAACUUCGUAAUUAAGUGUGUUUGGAAUAGAGUAGUACUGGGAUGGGUGACCUCCCAGGAAGUCCUAGUGUUUAACAUG
rfam:Picea glauca, whole genome shotgun sequence.